rnacentral:piRNA from 1 species
CCCACCCAGGGACGGCGUCUUUU